rnacentral:rRNA from 1 species
AUUGAACGCUGGCGGCAGGCCUAACACAUGCAAGUCGAACGAGUGGCGGACGGUUUAGUAAUGUCUGGGCAUCUGCCUGAUGGAGGGGGAUAACUACUGGAAACGGUAGCUAAUACCGCAUACCAUCGGAUGUGCCCAGAUGGUAGUAGCUAGUGGGUGGGGUAAACGCUCACCUAGUCGACGAUCCCUAGCUGGUCUGAGAGGAUGACCAGACACAGUGGAACUGAGACACGGUCCAGACUCCUACGGGAGGCAGCAGUGGGGAAUAUUGGACAAUGGGCGCAAGCCUGAGGCAGCCAUGCCGCGGGUAUGAAGAAGGCCUUAGGGUUGUAAAGGACUUUCAGUGGGGAGGCGUUACCAGCAGAAGAAGCACCGGCUAACUCCGUGCCAGCAGCCGCGGUAAUAC